rnacentral:lncRNA from 1 species
AGCCCCUGUCUCACUGCAGCCAGGGGGUCGCUGAGGUUCCCCCCCCCCAAAUUCAGCAAGGAGCUGCUCUGAUCCGUUCCCGUCUCCUCUUCCUCCUCCAACACCGGGGCUUUGCUGCGGGGCUGGGGAGGGAAAGGGAGCACCACAGCCCCCCCUGGGGGUCUCAGCAGCACAAAACCUGACCGGGGGGGGCACCUUCACAUCCCACAGAGACCUCUGUACCCCGGUCUGCAGACCCUGAGCCCCGUGCUUCCACCGGGCAGCGCCGGCAUCCCCAACCACAGCCUCUCCGGCUUCCCCUUCCUCGCCCCGGCACAAGCGGGUAAGUCCUGGCCCCGUGCCCCAAGAGGGUCAAAGACCCCCAACCAUGCCCCCCCCCCCCACAGCUCCUGUUCACUUUUCAUCCCCUGCUUGGCAGAGUAUGGGGCUGGCGAGGCCCCGCCGCCCCCCGGCUUCCUUCAGCCCGGCCCCCCGGCUUCGUGGCAGCCCCCGCGGGACAUGGCAGCACUGGGGACCAGCACCAGGAUUGUCCCCACCGAGGACGCGGCCCCCGGCAGCUCCC